ensembl:lncRNA
UUCCUCAGAUCCCUGGCAUUUCCGGUUCCCACUUCCAGUCAGGCUUUGUCACGGCAUAAUGAGUAUUUCCCUGGUUCUCCCGCAGGGUGGCAUAGUUGGAUUUACUGAAUUUGGGAUGGAUGUUUUCCCUCCACUUGGGAAUAUUGCCACAAUCUGGUAUGGUCGGCAGGGUAGACGUCCUCCCUUCAUACUGGAAUGCCACAUUCUUUGGCAGGAUUUACCUGAAGCAAAACAGCAGCGUGCGUUUGACCUUUUGGGGGACUCUCUGUUGUCCUGUUCCAUUGUGUGGGUCACGGGGAAGCAUCAGGCACAAGGCGGGGUACACCCUGGACAGGGUGCCAAUCCCUCUCAGGGCACACAAUCACACACCCAUGGACUCUUUGGACAUGCCAAUCAGCCUACCAUGCAUGCCUUUGGACUGGGGGAGGAACCCGGAGUACCCGCAGAAACCCCCGCAGCACGGGGAGAACAUGCAAACUCCGCACACACGGUCACGGUGGGAAUCAAACCCCCGGCCUUGGAGGUGUGAGGCAAACAUACUAACCACUAAGCAACCGCGCGCCCCACUUUUUGCACCUUAUCAUACUUAUACUCAUAUUAUCAUAUAGUAGAUUUUAAUGUAAACAAUCAUAUUGCAUGCAUAGUAUCAUAUUAUGAAAUAAAUAAUCCAUGAUGACAUUUUUCAGUUAAGUCACUCAAUUGAUUAUAUACGUUUGUUAGAAAAACC